ACUGGUCCAAGCAUUAGGUCAUAGCCUGUUC
rnacentral:piRNA from 1 species